rnacentral:rRNA from 1 species
CGCAAUAAAGGGUGAUAGCCCCGUAAUCGACAUCUCAUAAUCAGUGAAAACGAGUAGGGCGGGACACGUGAUAUCCUGUCUGAAUAUGGGGGGACCAUCCUCCAAGGCUAAUACUACUGACUGACCCGAUAGUGAACCAGUACCGUGAGGGAAAGGCGAAAAGAACCCCUGUGAGGGGAGUGAAAUAGAACCUGAAACCGUGUACGUACAAGCAGUAGGAGCACCUUCGUGGUGUGACUGCGUACCUUUUGUAUAAUGGGUCAGCGACUUAAUUUUAGUAGCAAGGUUAACCGUUUAGGGGAGCCGUAGGGAAACCGAGUCUUAACUGGGCGUACAGUUGCUAGGAUUAGACCCGAAACCAGGUGAUCUAGCCAUGGGCAGGUUGAAGGUUGAGUAACAUCAACUGGAGGACCGAACCGACUAAUGUUGAAAAAUUAGCGGAUGACUUGUGGCUAGGGGUGAAAGGCCAAUCAAACCUGGAGAUAGCUGGUUCUCCCCGAAAGCUAUUUAGGUAGCGCCUCGGACGAAUACUACUGGGGGUAGAGCACUGUUAAGGCUAGGGGGUCAUCCCGACUUACCAACCCCUUUGCAAACUCCGAAUACCAGUAAGUACUAUCCGGGAGACACACGGCGGGUGCUAACGUCCGUCGUGGAGAGGGAAACAACCCAGACCGCCAGCUAAGGUCCCAAAGUAUAGCUAAGUGGGAAACGAUGUGGGAAGGCUCAGACAGCCAGGAUGUUGGCUUAGAAGCAGCCAUCAUUUAAAGAAAGCGUAAUAGCUCACUGGUCGAGUCGGCCUGCGCGGAAGAUGUAACGGGGCUAAGCUAUACACCGAAGCUGCGGCUACGUACCUUAGGGUAUGUGGGGUAGGGGAGCGUUCUGUAAGCCGUUGAAGGUGGUCUGUAAGGGCUGCUGGAGGUAUCAGAAGUGCGAAUGCUGACAUGAGUAACGAUAAAGGGAGUGAAAAACUCCCUCGCCGGAAGACCAAGGGUUCCUGUCCAACGUUAAUCGGGGCAG